GACGAACGCUGGCGGCGUGCUUAAUACAUGCAAGUAGAACGCAGUUGCGCACGCGUGAGUAACGCGUAGGUAACUGCCUCAUAGCGGGGGGUAACUAUUUGAAACGAUAGCUAAUACCGCAUACUUUGGGCUGGACCUGCGUUGUAUUAGCUAGUUGGUGAGGUAAAGGGUCACCAAGGCGGCGAUACAUAGCCGACCUGAGAGGGUGAACGGGCAAACCUGGAACUGUGAACGGCCCAGAACCCUUAGGGAGGCCGGAGUAGGGAAGUUUUGCAAAUUGGCGGAAGUCUGAACGAGCAACGCCGCGGGAGUGAAGAAGGGUUUCGGAGUGUAAAGCGAUUUUGUUAGAGAAGCGGUAACUAACCAGAAAGGGACGGCUAACUACGUGCCAGCAGCCGCGGUAAUUC
rnacentral:rRNA from 1 species